CCCAUAAAGAAAGCCCAGUCCAGGAAACAAAACCCUUAGAGAAAGUAAAUUUAAAGAUUGCCUUCCACCCAAAAGCCACGUGUGAUGUGAAGAAACAAAGUUGAAACACGUGGACUGAAGAAGCCUUAGUCGUCGCUGUUCAUCGCCGAACUGGUUAGCAACUCAGAGAACUCCAAAACCAUGGAAACCGCCAGAGCUUCAAGAGAAGUCUAUCAAUUUUUAAUUAGAGAACCCCACCAAACUUCAUCAGCAAAUCAGGAAAGGAAAGAUCUACCAAAGGCAAUUGACUCCCGAAAUCCAAGGAACAUCGACGUAGAGUAAGUCUUUGAGCUUUCAACAACACCUAAAAACAAACAAAAAAGCACUCGUCUCCAUAAAACGGUUAGA